GGUGAGGUACUCAAGCGGUCAACGAGGACAGACUGUAAAUCUGUUGGCUCCGGCCUUCGAAGGUUCGAAUCCUUCCCUCACCA
rnacentral:tRNA from 1 species